rnacentral:misc_RNA from 1 species
UCCGAUUCGAUUAUCUCAUCCUCCUCCUCCUCUUCUUCCUCUUCGGGCUCUCUUUGUGGAGCUUCCUUAUCCUCAAUUUCCUCGUCGCUCUCCUCCACGACAUAGCUCUUCGAUUUGGAGUCUGCGUGGUUGUAAGCAGAUGGAGGGAGCUUAGCGUCGAGACUCUCGAGGUAGUCGCGGAAGAAGGAGAGGGAAGGAUCGCUAAGAAUGGAGGGAUUGGAUUUGCAUUGUUC